GGCCUUGUGGCCUAAUGGAUAAGGCGUCGGACUUCGGAUCCGAAAAUUGCAGGUUCGAGUCCUGCCAGAGUCG
rfam:Nippostrongylus brasiliensis genome assembly, scaffold: NBR_scaffold0001456